rnacentral:lncRNA from 1 species
GAGGUGCUCAUGAUUUUAAAAGGAUUAAAUCCGUCAGAUGCUAACUCGAGCCUUACACUCCGAGGAUCACUUGCAAAGCUUGGAAAUUUAUUGUCAAAUGAUUUCCAUGCAAAAGAAUCUGCAGGAUGCCUUAAUAAUCCAUCAUUCGUUCGUUGAUCAUGAUGCCACGUCAUAAACUCAGCUGUCUUUGACGACAUGAAUAGCCUU